rnacentral:piRNA from 1 species
CAGUGGCAUUAAAUACAUUCAUACUGUGA